AAAUCACGUGACAAAAUAAACAUUUACAGACGACAUAGGAGUGAAAGUUGAAUUUUGGUAUUCAUGGAAGGAAUAGACGAAUGAUUCAAGAAGUGUUCAACAUCGCAAUGCAGAUUUAACAGUCGAUAUGACCAGUUUUGACAACCAAGAUGGAGAUGACAGCAUUGAUGAAAUGAAUCAAGAGUUGGAAAAGUUAAAGGAAAAACUGAUUAAGAUAUCCACCCGUUGCCAUGUAUUGCAUGUUGAUUUGGCAGUUCAGUUCAGUCCACACAUUGUUGAUGCCUUGAGAAUUGUCAAGGAAGACUGCCAGAAAUGUACUUCAAAAAUUCAACUCCACUUGAAUGCCAAUGCAAAUAAUCAACAUUUAGUGGACUGAAAAGAUGGAUUGACACUCUAGAUAUGAAUGUCUCAUGAGAAGAUACCAUUUUGUUACUUCUGUUUUCAUAAUGUUUUAGCUGCAUUUUUCACUGUUGUUGAAACACAAAGAAAGUUCAAAUGUUAAAUAAUUUAUUUGAAAAAUAAGACUUUUUCAACAUU